GUGAGGGGGUGACUAGUGACAGAGUGAGGGAAGGAAGGGGUGACUAGUGACAGAGUGAGGAAGGGGGUGACACAGUGACAGAGUGAGGGAGGGGGUGACACAGUGACAGAGUGAAGGAGGUGGUGACUGUCACUAGUCACCCCAUCCCUCCCUCUGUCACUAAUCACCACCUCCCUCACUCUGUCACUAGUCAUCCCUUCCCUCUCUCACUCUGUCACUAGUCACCCCCUCCCUCUCUCUGUCACUAGUCACACCCUCCCUCAC